UACGGAGGAGGCAAGCGUUAUCCGGAAUUAUUGGGCGUAAAGAGCUCGUAGGCGGUUUGUCGCGUCUGCUGUGAAAACGCGAGGCUCAACCUCGCGCCUGCAGUGGGUACGGGCAGACUAGAGUGCGGUAGGGGAGAUUGGAAUUCCUGGUGUAGCGGUGGAAUGCGUAGAGAUCCGGAAGAACACCGGUGGCGAAGGCGGUCUGCUGGGGUCGAACUGACGCUGAGGCGCGACAGCGUGGGGAGCAAACAGG
rnacentral:rRNA from 1 species